UAACACAUGCAAGUUGAAGGAGAAGCCCUGACUUCGGUUAGGGUGGAGACUGGCGCACGGGUGAGUAACGCGUAGACAACCUGCCUGGACCUGGGGGAUAACUCCGCGAAAGCGGGGCUAAUACCGCAUAAUGCAGCGGGGCCGCAUGGCCACAGUUGUUAAAGGAUUGACGGGUGCAGAUGGGUCUGCGUGCUAUUAGUUAGUUGGUGAGGUAACGGCUCACCAAGGCGAUGAUAGCUAGGGGGUCUGAGAGGAUGAUCCCCCACACUGGGACUGAGACACGGCCCAGACUCCUACGGGAGGCAGCAGUGAGGAAUCUUGCGCAAUGGGCGCAACCCUGACGCAGCCACGCC
rnacentral:rRNA from 1 species